CAGUUGAUCUUGCUGGAUUACCUCAAGUUAAAGAUGGUGCUUUGAAUGUUACCGAGGCUUAUAAUUGGUUGUCCCUGUUGACGAAAGGGAACAUGUAUAUGAAGAGGGGGUUAAUGUAAAUGAAUUGCUAGCGGAGAAUGCUAUGAGUUAUAACCAGUUUCAAUCGGGGUUGAAGGGAAAUGGAAAAAAUGAGGGUUCAGGGAUUUCACCUGUUUUGAUGGAUAUGGGAUCACAACUUAAUAAGGAAAAGGUGGACUCUACAGCAGAACAUACAAAGGAUUCUGUUAUGUCUGAAUGUUGUGAUAGCCAGCCUUUGGUAGCUUCAACUCCACGAUCUGUGCAAACAACUUCCUGGAUGAGUUGCUGCAGACUAUUUGAGGUGUUUACAGGCUCCAAUAGAUAAUUUCAGAAGCAUUGCAUGAAGGAGCGGAAGGGGACCGGUGAAGCUAGUGGAACUUCAGGUUAUGUUGAGAUCUGCAAUUUGUACUGUAGAUGGAAAGAAAAAAUGCGAUAUCUCUUCGCACAAUGACAAGACGUUCCCUUGACAUUUUCUUUUCUCUCAACAAAUGUCUCCGGAAAUCCUCGAUCUACACAACCUUGAGGACUUGGGUAAUGGAAAGAUGUAGACCCAUCUUGAGUACUUUUCCGUGAUGAAUAACGCGCAAAAGUUCAUCAUGUACAACCAAUUCGAUG